rnacentral:lncRNA from 1 species
UCUUGCAGGGACCCAGGCACGUGCAAAUGGCCUUGUAAGUUCAUUCUUGAUGGUGAGGAGCUAGAAGACUCCCCCAAGGACAAGUUGCUUUGAGGAUUUAGUAAGAGCUCUUCCGUAUAUUCUAGAGCCCCCUGGGAUGGGUUCGUUAAAGGAAUAUCUUCUGCUCCCCUGACAUCAAAUUCAUGUGCACUAUUUACUGGAAAAUAACCGCGGUUCUCAGCACUGGCGAGUGGAUUCCUAUUUCUAAUAGGGGACAAUGGUCGGCGAACAUUAAACCUUGAAUUUCCCUCUGAGUCUGAACUGUGAAUAAAUGUAGACGACAUCGACAAGUCUACUGGAAUAUCAUCUCUCAUGGCAGAAUGCAUUAAUGAUCCAGGAGUGUUAUAAGAUAAACUCACUGGUGAUCUUGGAGCUGUUGGUCUACCAGAGAGAAAACAGUCAAGAGAAUUACUAGAACUG